AGCAGAGAAACUUUUAUUUGUCCUAUAGCCAUUUCAAUUCAAUUGAACUACACUUCUCUUUAUUUAAACUCUUGAGACACCUCAUAAAAAAGCAACAUCUGAAUUUGUUUCUCUUCUUCUCUAGCUACAUUAUAACCAUUGAUGUUAUUCUUCAUCUUUCUGCUACUUAACACUGAGAUAAGAAAAAUGGGUGUAGGUGGAAUAGCCAGCACCGGGGGAGGGAAUAAGGAGUACCGAGGAAAGUUCACUCAUUUUGUUUUAUGAUCAUGCUUGGCAGCUUCAAUGGGUGGUUUAAUCUUCGGCUACCAUGGAGUUUCAGAAUCAGAAUGUUGUUGUCAUCUGCAGAAUAUCCCAUGAUGUCGGAACCACCUGUGGGAAUAUUUCCAACCAUGUUAUUCAAGAAUCCUGACUACAGCUACUUCCACCGACCUCCGCUGUGGCUUAUUUACAUCUUCAUUUUCAUCGUCGUGGUGGUAGUUGCAGCAGUGCUGGGUUGGGCAAUACUUCCGCUAUUCUUAGAAUGGUGGAAUGCAACAUUGAUUAAAGAGGAUGUCAACAAUGGUUUCUAACUACUCAUUACAUUUGGUAUACUCUUCGCCAAUGUAUUGAACUUCUUCUUUAUGAAAGCCAUUCUAAUAGACCACAAGCAGCAAAGGAACAGCUUCAAAAAAUUUGUACAAUGUCGAUGAAGAGUUCAACGAUCUUGUGGCAGCGAGUAUAGCUUCAACGAGAGUUGAACAGCCUUUGAGAAAAUUGCGGGAAAGGAAGCAUAGAGCACAAGUUUCUUGUGGCACAAUGUUUCUUAACCAUGCUCUGCCAUAUGAAGUUUGGAUUGUUCAUAUUCUUUGCCGCUUGUGACUAUGACAAUCUUUGUAUACUUCAUACUGCCAGAAACUAAAGGAAUUGCUAUUGAUGAGAAGGGCAGUGUUUGGAGAUCUCACUGGUUUGGAUUUGUAGAAAAUAAUGAUGUUGAGAUGGACCAGCAACUGAUUAGUCUAGAUUUUAGUUUAUUUUAUUUUGUUAAGAAAUUAGUUCUCUUUUUAUUUUCUAUUGUUGUACAAACAUGACACAACACAGCAAGCAAAAUGCACUAAGUAGAACCAUAGAACUCAGCAAUUAAAAAAGGAGAACAUUCAUGGUGAGAAGUUUUUCUAUUCAUGACAAUUGUGUCUAAAAUAUUAAAAUUAACUAUAUGUUGUAGUCUAUUGAUCAAGAUCAUCACUCAGGAUCAUAAUUUUUCAGUUCAUGAAUAUGAAAAGUAGGAAACAAAUUAAUAUA